rnacentral:rRNA from 1 species
UACGGGGGGGGCAAGCGUUGUUCGGAAUUACUGGGCGUAAAGGGUUCGUAGGUGGCCUGCUAAGUCAGGCGUGAAAUCCCUCAGCUCAACUGGGGAACUGCGUCUGAGACUGGCAGGCUUGAGUGCAGGAGAGGAACGCGGAAUUCCAGGUGUAGCGGUGAAAUGCGUAGAUAUCUGGAGGAACACCGGUGGCGAAGGCGGCGUUCUGGACUGUUACUGACACUGAGGAACGAAAGCCAGGGGAGCAAACGGG